GUUCCGAGAUUGCCGCUCGAAAGUUUGCCUGUGUAGUGUAUCAGAAGAAGGCAUGGAGAGCUAUUCCUGCGAGGCAAUUAUGUGUUUUUUUGCUUGCCUUCUAAUCUGUGCAAUGAUAGCAUUUAUGGCUUUCAAUAUCUGGAAGGAAGAGUUUAUAAAGUAUAACGGGCUACAACUACAGCAAAUCAAAAGACCCAAAAGUACUUUUUUGAAAUCUCAUAAGGAGGCUGUUGAAAAUAGCGAUGAAACCUGCUAUGGAACGGUGUAAGAAGUCAAGGAAAACCCAACUGCAUUUUUCACAGAGCGCCAUUAUAUUGUGAUGCUGUCAUUGGCUGUAACUACGUUGUAAACCAUCGUCGUGUCACAUUCAUUCUAUGUUUUUUUCGUUUUCGUCUACACCUUGGACAUGUCCGAUCAAGUCAAUUUUUGUAAUGUAUGUUGUAAGUAGUUAGAGUAGUAUUUCUUUUUUUCUUUUCUCUUUUUUUUGUCAACUGGAGAUAUUAUCAACUGUGCUGCUCGUACAUCUAAAUAAAGUCAUGCACGCGUG